rnacentral:rRNA from 1 species
AUUGAACGCUGGCGGCAGGCCUAACACAUGCAAGUCGAGCGAGCGGCGGACGGGUGAGUAAUGUCUGGGAAACUGCCGGAUGGAGGGGGAUAACUACUGGAAACGGUAGCUCAUACCGCAUACCAUCAGAUGUGCCCAGAUGGGAUAAGCUAGUAGGUGGGGUAACGGCUCACCUAGGCGACGAUCCCUAGCUGGUCUGAGAGGAUGAACAGCCACACUGGAACUGAGACACGGCCCAGACUCCUACGGGAGGCAGCAGUGGGGAAUAUUGCACAAUGGGCGCAAGCCUGAUGCAGCCAUGCCGCGUGUAUGAAGAAGGCCUUAGGGUUGUAAAGUACUUUCAGUGGGGAGGCGUUACCCACAGAAGAAGCACCGGCGAACUCCGUGCCAGCAGCCGCGGUAAUAC